rnacentral:lncRNA from 1 species
AAAUACCUCCUACAAUUGAUGCAGAUUUUGCUUUUAAAAAUGGAUCAAAGUAUUCCUAAUGGUUUGGGUACCACCUUACAUUCCAAAUACGUAAUGUAAUGGGAGAUUUUUAGUGUUUCGGGAUUCAUUCUCAGACUUUGGCAUUCUGUUUAGAGCCAAGAAUAAUUACUCUUUCUGCUCUAUUUUCACUCCAAGGUAGAGUUUAUUUUUCAGAGUCUCUUUUCCUGUUGCUUAUCUUUGAAAGUAUAUGUAGUUGUUUUCUUUCCUUUUUUUUUUUAAGAUUACUUUUUUAAAAAAAUAUAACAUACUUAUGGAGAGAUCAUAAAAUAUAAGCACCAACUAAAUGUGAAAUAGAUGACUAGAUAAUAGCAGUUAUCCAAAGUGGUUGUCCCAAUUAACACUCCCAUUAACAGUGUAUGAGAACUCCUUUUGUUUAAUAUCCUCACCAAAACUUGAUAUUGGCAGAGUUUGAAAUGUUGUCAAUGUGGUGGGUAUUAAUAGUGUCUGAUUGUGGUUUUAGUUUGCAUUUCCCUGAUUAUUAAUAUGGCUGAACAUUUUUUCCUUUUUUUGACUUUUUUGUCUUUGUACAAAUUUUAAUAUCAGAUCAAGCCUACACACCACUCACACAGAGACACACACUCACCCUGUUGAGUUUUUUUUAAAUUUUGAUUGUAUUAUAUCUAUAAAUCAAUUUGGAGAGAAUUGCUAUCUACAAUAUUAGGUCUUCUAGUCCAUGACCAUGGUUUACCCUUCCAUUUGUUUGAAAUAAAUGAGAAAAAAGUUGUUCUUUUCUUUGAAGAUUUACAAAUCUUUUGUUAGAUUGUUCCCAAGUGUUUGAUACUUUUAAAAAAGUAUCAAAAUUUUCAAAGAAGAUAGUACCCAUUUCUUGUUUCAACAGUUACUCAGCUGAUCAAUGUUGAUGUUCAAUUCUUUUGUAAAUGGUGGUGGUGUAAAAUUUCCUUAUACUGUUUGUUGCUUGUGUAUGGUAUAAAACUUAGUUUUCCUGAGUUUUGUAUACAAUGAGCCUUGCUAGACUUGCUAAUUCUAGACAUUUGUGUGAUUCUUUUGCAUUGUCUACAUAUUAGGGAAAAAACAACUUUUGCUUUGCCGUUCUGUGGUAGACAGCAUCUAUAUUGUCCUCAGUGAUCCUUGCUUCCUGAUAUUUAAUGCCUUGUGUAGUCUCCUGUCCUUGAGUGUGGGUGGAGCUAAAAUGACACAUUUCUAAAGAAUAGAAUACAUCAUCAGUGAUGGGGUAUCACUUUUGAGAUUAGAUUCCAAAACUCUGGCUUCAUCUUGCUUGUCUUCCUUCUUAUUCUCUCCCUGGCUUGCUCUGGGGAAAGCCAGCUGUCAUGUUGUGAGCUACCCUUUCAGAGGCCCACCAGGCAAGGAACUGAUGUAUCUGGCCAACAGCCACCGUGGAUGUGAAGCCUACCAACAUCUUUAUGAGUGAUCUUGGAAGUGGAUCUUCCCUUGGUCAAACCUUGAGGUGACUCUAACCUUAGCUGACACCUUGAUUGGAGACUUUUGAGAAACUGUAAGCCAGAGGACUUAGCUAAGCUGUGCCUGGAUUCCUAAUCCACCGAAACUGUGAUAUAAUAAAUGUUUAUUGUUUUAA